rnacentral:rRNA from 1 species
AAAGUUUGAUUCUGGCUCAGGAUAACGCUAGCGACAGGCCUAACACAUGCAAGUCGAGGGGCCACUCAAGUGGCGACCGGCGCACGGGUGAGUAACGCGUAUGCAACCUGCCUACUACAAGGGGAUAACCCGUUGAAAGACGGACUAAUACCCUAUAACAGGGUAUCCGCAUGGAUUAUUUGUUAAAGAUUUAUCGGUAGUAGAUGGGCAUGCGUUCCAUUAGCUUGUUGGUGAGGUAACGGCUCACCAAGGCAACGAUGGAUAGGGGAACUGAGAGGUUGAUCCCCCACACUGGAACUGAGACACGGUCCAGACUCCUACGGGAGGCAGCAGUGAGGAAUAUUGGUCAAUGGACGAGAGUCUGAACCAGCCAAGUCGCGUGAAGGCGGUACGUUGACUUCUUUUGUAAGGGCGCCACCUUACGAAUAAGGAUCGGCAACUCCGUGCCAGCAGCCGCGGUAAUACGGAGGAUCCGAGCGUUAUCCGGAUUUAUUGGGUUUAAAGGGUGCGCAGGCGGCAUGUUAAGUCGGCGGUGAAAUUUUGCAGCUCAACUGUAAAAGAGCCUUCGAAACUGGCAAGCUUGAGUGUGGAUGAAGUAGGCGGAAUUUGUGGUGUAGCGGUGAAAUGCAUAGAUAUCACAAAGAACACCGAUUGCGCAGGCAGCUUACUAAACCUAACUGACGCUCAUGCACGAAGGCGUGGGGAUCAAACAGGAUUAGAUACCCUGGUAGUCCACGCAGUAAACGAUGAUUACUGGCUGUUUGCGAUACAGUAAGCGGCUGAGCGAAAGCGUUAAGUAAUCCACCUGGGGAGUACGUUCGCAAGAAUGAAACUCAAAGGAAUUGACGGGGACCCGCACAAGCAGCGGAGCAUGUGGUUUAAUUCGAAGCAACGCGAAGAACCUUACCAGGUCACAUCUCUGACCAUCCUAGAGAUAGGACUUUUUCGCAGAGGAAGGUGGUGCAUGGUUGUCGUCAGCUCGUGUCGUGAGAUGUUGGGUUAAGUCCCGCAACGAGCGCAACCCCUGUGGUUAGUUGCCAUCAUUUAGUUGGGCACUCUAAGCAGACUGCCGUAGAUAAUACAGGAAGGUGGGGACGACGUCAAAUCAUCAUGCCCCUUAUGACCUGGGCUACACACGUGCUACAAUGGUCUGAACAGAGGGUUGCGAAGCCGCGAGGUGAAGCUAUCCCUAAAACAGAUCCCAGUUCGGAUUGCAGGCUGCAACUCGCCUGCAUGAAGUUGGAGUUGCUAGUAAUCGCGGAUCAGAAUGCCGCGGUGAAUGCGUUCCCGGGUGUGGUACACAUCCCCCGUC